rnacentral:rRNA from 1 species
CCAGUUGAUCGCAUGGUCUUCUGGGAAAGCUUUCGCGGUAUGGGAUGGGGUCGCGUCCUAUCAGCUUGACGGCGGGGUAACGGCCCACCGUGGCUUCGACGGGUAGCCGGCCUGAGAGGGCGACCGGCCACAUUGGGACUGAGAUACGGCCCAGACUCCUACGGGAGGCAGCAGUGGGGAAUAUUGCACAAUGGGCGCAAGCCUGAUGCAGCGACGCCGCGUGAGGGAUGGAGGCCUUCGGGUUGUAAACCUCUUUUAUCGGGGAGCAAGCGAGAGUGAGUUUACCCGUUGAAUAAGCACCGGCUAACUACGUGCCAGCAGCCGCGGUAAUACGUAGGGUGCAAGCGUUAUCCGGAAUUAUUGGGCGUAAAGGGCUCGUAGGCGGUUCGUCGCGUCCGGUGUGAAAGUCCAUCGCUUAACG